rnacentral:rRNA from 1 species
CCACCCGUUGUGGUGCUCCCCCGCCAAUUCCUUUAAGUUUCAGCCUUGCGGCCGUACUUCCCAGGUGGCUCGCUUCACGGCUUCCCUACGGCACCGACAACGGUCGCACCGUGGCCGACACCCAGCGAGUAUCGUUUACGGCUAGGACUACCCGGGUAUCUAAUCCGGUUCGUGCCCCUAGCUUUCGUCCCUUGCCGUCAGGUCCGUUCUGGUGAGACGCCUUCGCCACUGGUGGUCCUUCAAGGAUUACAAGAUUUCACCCCUACCCCUGAAGUACCUCUCACCUCUCCCGGCCUCGAGCCGAACAGUAUCUCCUGAAAGCCCAACAGUUGAGCUGCUGGAUUUCUCAAGAGACUUAUCCGGCCGGCUACAGACCCUUUAGACCCAAUAAUAACGGUUACCACUCGAGCCGCCGGUGUUACCGCGGCGGCUGGCACCGGUCUUGCCCGGCCCUUGCUAUGCAAUGCUUUUUAUGCAUCACGACAGCCAGAUUUGUAACCUGGCACUCGAGGUCCCCUUAUCGCC